AUGGAUGAGGUCACAAGGGGUAUACAAGGAGAUAUCCCAUGGUGUAUGCUCUUUGCGGAUGAUGUGGUGCUAGUUGACGAUAGUCGGACGGGGGUAAAUAGGAAGUUAGAGUUAUGGAGACAAACCUUGGAAUCGAAAGGGUUUAGGCUUAGUAGAACUAAAACCGAGUACAUGAUGUGCGGUUUUAGUACUACUAGCUGUGAGGAGGAGGAGGUUAGCUUUGAUGGCCAGGUGGUACCUCGGAAGGACACCUUUCGGUAUUUGGGGUCAAUGUUGCAGGAGGAUGGGGGUAUUGAUGAAGAUGUG
rnacentral:rRNA from 1 species